rnacentral:rRNA from 1 species
UACGAAAGGGGCUAGCGUUGUUCGGAAUUACUGGGCGUAAAGCGCACGUAGGCGGCACUGUAAGGUGGGGGUGAAAUCCCGGAGCUCAACUCCGGAACUGCCUUCAAGACUGCAGAGCUGGAGGAUGCGAGAGGUGAGUGGAAGUCCGAGUGUAGAGGUGAAAUUCGUAGAUAUUCGGAAGAACACCAGUGGCGCAGGCGGCUCACUGGCGCAUUUCUGACGCUGAGGUGCGAAAGCGUGGGGAGCAAACAGG